rnacentral:rRNA from 1 species
AUGCUCUCCAUGUCGAGGGUGCUCGCGAGGCGGCUCUUCUCCACCGCCGCGCCCGAGGGCGCCGCCGCCGCCUCGACGUCGCUGGCGAGGAAGGCGCAGAACCCCCUCGAGGAGUUGUUCGAGGUCGAGCGGAGCACCGAGGACGACCAGCCCGCUCCCCACUACGGUCGUGGUUGGAAGGCUUCUGAAUUACGCCUCAAGUCUUGGGACGACCUUCAUAAGCUGUGGUAUGUCCUGCUAAAGGAGAAGAACAUGCUCAUGUCUCAACGCCAGAUGCUGGCUUCAGAGAGCAUGCGCUUCCCAAACCCGGAGCGCAUUUCCAAGGUGAGGAGAUCGAUGUGCCGGAUCAAGCACGUGCUGACGGAGCGGGCCAUUGCGGACCCUGACCCGCGGAGGACUGCGGAGAUGAAGCGGAUGAUCAACGCCAUGUGA